AGAAUUAGGUUUUUAAUGGAGUUUUGCUUAGUUUUUGCAUUGAGAUAAGCUAUGUAAUCCUGGUUUACCUGAAACUCACGAUGUAGGUCAGGCCAGCCUUGAACUCAAAAAGAGAUCUGCCUGCCUUUGCCUCCAUAGUGCUGGGAGUGUGCCACCACACUGUAUAUUUUAAGAAGGGUUCUUGAGCUGAGCUUAAUGGUGCAUACCUUUGAUCCCAACCCUUCAGAUGUCAGGUGAAUUUCUAAAUUUGAGGUCAGCCUAGUCUAUAUAGUGAAGUCUGGGACAGCAAGAGCUACAUAGUGAGACCCUUAGUAAAACAAAAACAAGAAAGAAAAGCUGAAUAACUUUUUAGAAAAAUGUAUAGACCUUUACAUCUCAUAAAUGGGUUUUAAACAAGAGUAUAGUCUAUAUAUUAGCAUUGUCUCUAAAUGAGAUUAUGAAUUCUUUUGAGGUAACGUUCCAAGGGAUAGGUAGGCAUGAUAAUUUACGAAAAUCCAAAUUCAGAUUCUUAAUUCCCAAAACCCUACAUCAUACCCUUAGAUGAACUUAAGAUGCCUGUGAUCAAGGGAAUAACAGCCAUUUCCUUAUUAAUCUUUAUCACAUUUUACAAAAGAAAAAGCAAGAUUUGUUUUCCAAAAAUGUACCCAACAAUAUUUCAAGUCCCAUAUGUUCUUACAGAGUAUUUUGCUGCUUCCCUAUCGUGAGAGUGGGUCUUGAACUUUAUCAAACAUUUCCUACUGUCUUGGUUAAAGGAGUAUCACAAUUUAAUUUUUUUUACUAUGAGUAAAAUGUGUUCAUUCCAGCUGUUACAUUGCAUAUGGAAAUGUUCAGAAUUCAGAUGUUUUGUCAAGUAAAGGAGAUGGGAGUGUUGGUUU
rnacentral:lncRNA from 1 species